UACGUAGGGUGCAAGCGUUGUCCGGACUUAUUGGGCGUAAAGAGCUCGUAGGCGGUUUGUUGCGUCGGCUGUGAAAUCCCGAGGCUCAACCUCGGGUCUGCAGUCGAUACGAGCAAACUAGAGUGUUGCAGGGGAGACUGGAAUUCCUGGUGUAGCGGUGAAAUGCGCAGAUAUCAGGAGGAACACCGGUGGCGAAGGCGGGUCUCUGGGCAACAACUGACGCUGAGGAGCGAAAGCGUGGGGAGCGAACAGG
rnacentral:rRNA from 1 species